GAAGAAAGAAGGAGAGAGAAAGAGAGAGAGAGAGAGAGAGAGAAAGGAAAUUUCGAUAUUCUGUUCCUCAGAGAAUAUUUACGGCCGUGUUUACCACAUAUGAUAGAAAAAAAAAAAAGAAAAACAGAAAACGAAGAAACAAUUUUGACGAUUUACAAUUUCACGAAAGAAAAUUUGCCGAACUAUCUUUCUAUUGCAUCUUGGAACACCUGCUGCUUGCAUUAAGCAAGUGAUAACUCUUUGGUUCUUUGCUGAGUUAAAGAAAUUGCCGAUUUGCAUUUAUUAAAGGAUUGGUUAAACGCACGAAAGGCAAAGCUUCGAAGGUUAAGAGGAUUCAAUCCCGCAGGUAGCUUAAGGCCAUCUCCGUGAAAUACAACGUUGUAAAUGCACUAUGGACUCUUAUCUUCGGGAAUGCUACAUAGCAUAUGAAGAAAGGUGGAAUUCGCGGUAGGCUACCCCGCGGCAGCUUCCUCAUACUCGAGAAAUGCCAAUUCCAAAGGAUCCGCACGGAAUUUUCAUCGAACCGACAUGGAAGGCGCGGCAUCGUCGUCUCUUGGAUGAAGCGGCUCGUAACGACGGCCUUGAGCUAGUUCAGUGAAGCUAGCUCGGUGAAUUAGCUCUGUGAACUAGCUCGUCUUUUCCCUUUACCUUUGAUGAGCGAGAGAGAGAGAGAGAGAGAGAGAGAGAGAGAGAGAGAGAGAGAGACUCUUACGUUGAUUCUAUUGAAUCGAUCGUUGGUUAUAUGAAAUGAACGUGCUAAUGAGACGUAUCUCUUGCUCAAUUCUCUUCGAAUCUAAUCAAUUAAUUAAAAGGACACUUUAUCAAUCUUACUACUCGUAUAAAAUUUCUAUUUGAUCUUUAUGGAUUUUGCACAAAUUUCACAGAAAUGACAUGCGUCCUUUUUUUUCCAUGUGUCCUUCCUAUUAAUCGCAGUCGAAGCUUUUCCCUCCCCUUCCUCCAACCCAGUUUGUACAUUGAGAAUUGCAUGUCGCAAAUUGCACGUCGCAAAAGUUAUAUACCGCGUGUCGUAUGAUCGAUGGCCCUGCAUUUAUUUUUCACGAUAGCCGAUGAACAAAACACGUAUGUAUGUACGUCCGGUCAUUGUUUAGAAGUUUGCUUUCGUGUGAAAAAAAGGAAAAAAAAGAAGAAAAAAAAGAAAAUUAAAAGAAAAAAGGAAGAAAAAAAAGAGGGAGAUAGAAAAAAAAGUUAUACACUUUGGUGUCGUUAAAAAAAUAUCAACUUUUACGAGUGCAAAAAUAAAGGUCGGACUGAUCGAAGGGAAAAUGAAAAUGCUGAAUGUAUUAUCGGAUUAACUAGCGUAUUGCGUAAAGCAUGAAACGUUUCAAAGGACUUCUUUGAGAAAGGUUAGUAUGAUAAAAUAGAGAUAGAUAGAUAGAUAGUAAGAGAGAGAGAGAGAGAGAGAAAGAGACAGACAGACAUAGGGAGAGGUUCGAAAAAAUUUAGAGAGAUUCUUUCCUAUAAUUUCGUAAAUUUUCAUGCGCAUUCGCAUCGCGAUAGCGGCAAGUUUUCGUUCGCUGAUUGAAAACCCUCCCCCCCCCUACCCUCUCCCCAUAAUUCAUUUACUCGUAUCGAAAGCCCCUAUCGAUAAAUUCCGUAUUUUUUGUGUGCGUCAGCAUCGAUCGCCCAAUGAAACCCGAUUUCAUCUUCAGCGUUCAAAACGUAAUUUCAUAGAGCCGAGAACGAAAAAUGGCUCGUUUUACGCGAUUACGCGAUAGAUUCCACCGAUCGCUAGCUGAUGCUAAAGGGUAAGAGGAAGAGUUGGGCGAAGGGAGGCGAGGAGCGGGGUAUUAAGCCGAAUACGUUUCGUACGGAAGAUUCAGGUUCGAGGAUACAGAAAGGAUUACGGAUUUCCUAGGGAGAAAACCGUUCUGUGUAUAUUCGCCGUAGCUUCAAGAAAGCAAACGAAUGCGCUUAUCGGUCCAAUUAACAUGCUCAUUCGAAGGGAAAACAUUGGGGAAUCGUAGUAAGGGAAAGAGAAAGAGGGAAAGCGAAUAGAUAUAGAGUUGCUCGUCUUCGAUCUGGCGCAUGCUUUUAUUUUCAAAGGGUGGAAUGGUAGAAAGAGAGAAAAAGAUAGUAAACGAAGUUGCUUGAGAAGGAAGGAGAAGAUUCGAUAGGACCAAUAAAAUCGAACGCUGCUAAUUCGUUUAAUGGCCGUGACCCAAACUUCUCUAUUUAUUCAGUGAAGUAUCGAGAGAGAGAGAGAGAGAGAGAGAGAGAGAGAGAGAGAGAGAAAGCGAGGAGUGUGGCCAGAGGGAAGAUAACUGAUGAUCCGCAGUCACGUUCGCGCAAACACGAUUGCCUGGCCGAUUUAAUCUGGCCGAUCCUCGAAGGCAUCUUUUAUACUCGCUUUGCCAUUCCACUGGCGUGGAUAAGCCGCGUGGUCAAGCCCUUUCCUCUCUCUCUCUCUCUCUCUCUCUCUCUUUUUUUCUUUCUUUCUUUGCCUCCUUUUUUUUCUCUUUUUCUUUUUCUCUUUCACCCUAACCAACGAAUCGAAGAGUAGAGCGACAGUCGUUAUUACCUAUUUGUGUGGGCAACCAAAAACUUUCUCGUCAUCGUUGCCGUUUACUUCGAAUAACCAAUACUUAAAUAAGUCCAAGUAAAGUGGGUGGAAAAAAUUUCCAAAGGUUUUCUUAUAUAUAUAUAUAAGAUCGUACCACUUGAUUUCCUUCAUGGUUAUAAAAUUCUUAAGAAUCCUGGCAAACUUAUGUAGCAGUAAAUUUUGACGACGAUUCGAUCGUUGCUACGAUUCGCUAAAUAACUUAAGUUUAUUUUAUCGUUUUGAAUUUAUAUUCUGAAAUUUUCUUCUCAAACUUUUCUUAGAUAUGUUGAAACGGAUAAAAAACGUCAACGUUAUUGGUUGAGAAAGUUUUGCGCGUGCAUAUUAUGUAUGUAUAACAUUAUCGCAUAGCGAUCGGAUGCAUCGUAAAAAGGAAAGAAAGGAGAGCUUUCUACAGUCUGCUUCUUUACAAUGAACGACGCGAACAAGCUCUCCCUUCUGGAGCUAACAUCGUGGAAGCACGUUAUUGUCAAAGGUUCACCUAGUGUAAACUCCUGGGGUUGCGCGUGUAAAUUGAGCACGAGUUGCUUAACACGCUCGUGGAACGUCGUAGGAACUCGCGUACUAUUGGUCAGUGUUUAGAUGUAUACUUGUAUUAGUGCGUGUAUAAAUGCAUGCGUUUGUGUUUGUAGCUACGUUACCGUCCUUGCCCAGACUGGACUCAUCUCUCUCUCUCUCUCUCUCUCUCUCCCUCUCCCUCUCUCUCUCUCUAUCUCUAUCUAUCUAUCUAUCUAUCUAUCUUUACUCUAUGAGAGUCACGUUUACGGGAAAUACAAUCACUGUGCUGAUCUAAUCUCUGGGAUCCUUGUAGCAAUCUUGUGUAUCCACACUGUGAAAGAUCAAAUUGCGAUCUCUUCAAAUUUCUGAAUCUUAACCUUACGUCGAAAACCAGAAAAGUAUACAGUAUAAAAUGCUAUUAGAUUUUUAAAAUUCAAUGAACGCAAUAUCCGCAAUGAUUCUCUCUCCGUUUUAUUCGUAUAUAAAUAUGAUAUAUUAUUUAGAAGUUGAAAUAUGUGAUAUUAUUUUUUGUAUAAAAUAAAGAAAAAAGAAUAAUAAAAAAAAAAAAAAAAAGGAAGAAAGAAAGGAAAAUUCAGGAAUAUAAAAUAAUAGGAAUUAAAACGAUGUAACUUAGAUUAAGCUGAAAUUAAAUUAAUUGCAAAAGUCAGUAUUAUUGUUCGAAAUAUAAAUUAAUCAAUACCCUCGUAUUUUAUCAAUAAUACGACUAACAAUUCAUUUAUCUUGGAACAAUAAUAACGUAUAAAUAAUUCAUAUAUCUUAUUUUACUAAAUACAUUUCAUUGGCUAUCAAAAAUUGUUACAAUGUAAAACGAUUUCGUAGAGUAAUUCAGGAAUGAAAGAGAGUAAUUACUAAAAUAAUUGUGAUUCAACGCGAUUUCGUGGUAUGAGCUCUCCAAUUAUGGCCUUCUCAUUUAAAUAACAUUGGUACACUUAGAGAAACAAAUUAAUUUCACUGCCUUUUAUUCAUUAAUAUUGUUUAAUUGGAAAAUCUUUAUAUGUAUA